GGGGGGGGGGGGGGGGGGGGCGGGCACAGGCGAGGCGAGCGGGGCGGGGAGGAGCGUGCUUUUCUUAGCUUGGUGGCGAACGGGUGAGUAACGCGUGGGUAACCUGCCCUGGAGUGGGGGACAACAGUUGGAAACGACUGCUAAUACCGCAUAAGCCCACGAUCCGGCAUCGGCUUGAGGGAAAAGGAUUUAUUCGCUUCAGGAUGGACUCGCGUCCAAUUAGCUAGUUGGUGAGGUAACGGCCCACCAAGGCGACGAUUGGUAGCCGGACUGAGAGGUUGAACGGCCACAUUGGGACUGAGACACGGCCCAGACUCCUACGGGAGGCAGCAGUGGGGGAUAUUGCACAAUGGGGGAAACCCUGAUGCAGCGACGCCGCGUGGAGGAAGAAGGUUUUCGGAUUGUAAACUCCUGUCGUUAGGGACGAUAAUGACGGUACCUAACAAGAAAGCACCGGCUAACUACGUG
rnacentral:rRNA from 1 species